rnacentral:rRNA from 1 species
AUGGGUUCCCUGCUGAUACCGCUGGUGGGGAGCCUGGCGGCCAAGGCCGGCGACGCGCUGGUGGGCGAGCUGCUGCGGGCCUGGGGGCUGGACAAGUCACGCCGGAAGCUGGAGCGCCACCUUGCUGCGGUCCAGUGCAUCCUGCUGGACGCCGACGUCAAGAGCCGCACCAACCCCGCCGUGCGCCGGCGGAUCAACAACCUCAAGACUGCCGCGUAUCAUGCCGAUGAUGUUCUUGAUGACUUCCGCUACGAGGCGCUGCGCCUCGGUGCUGCACAGAUCCGCCCCUACUCCACGGCACGCAAGAUGCUGAGCUAUUUCACCACCAACAGCCCGGUUGUUUUCCGUCUCUCCAUGAGCAGGAAGAUGAAAGAUGCCCUUGAAAUGAUAGAUGAAUUGGUUGUGGAGAUGAAUAACUUUCACUUCCUACCACAUGCCGAGGCACCAAGCAUUGAUCAUCCGCAGACGCACUCCCGUGUCAAUGAAUCAGAGAUAGUCGGCAGGCAAAAUGAGAAGGAACAAGUGGUGAAGAUAUUGCUCGAUUACUCCUACAACAGUGAAGAAAAUAAUAGUAAUGUCAUGGUCCUCCCCAUAGUUGGUAUGGGGGGGAUUGGUAAGACUACCCUUGCCCAACUUGUUCACAAUGAUGGCAGAGUGCAGGAUCAUUUCGAGUUGGUCUUAUGGGUUUGUGUCUCUGACAAGUUCGUUAUUGAAGAAAUCAUCCGAUCUAUAAUAGAAGUGGCCACCAUGAAGAAGUGUCAUCUGACCCAGAUGGAGGCACUGCAAAAGGAACUUUGUGGAGUUCUUGGCAAGAAAAGGUACCUCCUAGUGUUGGAUGAUGUUUGGAAUGAAGAUAGACAGAAGUGGGAUGUUAUGAGAUCUUUGCUAUGCUCAAAUACUGGCUUAGAUAGUGCUAUAAUUGUGACAAGCCGCAGCGAUCAAGUUGCUUCUAUCAUGGGCACACUUCCUUCACAUCGGAUAUCAGUUCUAAAUGAGGAUCAAUCAUGGGAGCUUUUUCAUAGAAACACAUUUGAAAGGGAAGUGGAAAAGCAAAUGGAAUUGAUUUCAAUGGCUAAGAGUAUUGUCCAAGAGUGUAAGGGAUUGCCUCUUGCUAUCAAGACCAUGGCAACUUUACUUUUUUCAAAGCAUCAUAAUCAGUGGUUUUCUGUUCGGGAUAGUGACGUCUGGAAAAAUGGCAUCCUCACAACCACUGGGACUGUACCUGCACUACAACUAAGCUAUGAUCACUUGUCAUCCGAAGCAAAAAUAUGCGUUUCAUUUUGUGCUAUUUUCCCGAAGGAUAGCCUAAUGGAUAAAGACAUGUUAAUCCAGCUAUGGAUGGCAAAUGAAUUUAUUGCAUCAGAAACAAGAGGCCAACAAAUUUUUGAUUUACUAGUUUGGAGAUGUUUCCUCCAAGAUGUGACGAUUCAGAAGAAUCCACACACCCGUUCUCUAGACAGGCUCAUCCAUCGUUCAACUACUUGCAAGAUGCAUGAUCUCAUGCAUGACCUUGCGAACUCCGUAAACGGAAAUGAUUGCACUAUUUUGCAAGAAUUUUCUUCAUGCCAAGAAAUUCCUGAAGGAUACACAUAUGGUACUUCAUUACAUCAUGAGGUUCGACAUUUGUCACUUGAUUAUGUCAGUAAUUAUACUAUUACAGCUAUGGAGGAAGUUCUAGCUCCCCAGGCCCGCACUAUAUUAUUCCCUAUUGGCCGGAAUGUGACUCCUUGUGAUGUCAAGUCUGUGAGUAUGGCCAAGUCCAAAUUCAUGUCCUUGCGAGCAUUGAAAACAUUCUCAAUCGAGACACAUAUGACAAACUUGAAGCAUCUUCACUACCUAGAUUGUUCUAAUUCUAAUAUAUCUGCGCUGCCUGAAGCCACUGCCAUGUUGUAUAGCUUGCAAACAUUGAAGCUCAAUGGUUGUAGAAAUCUUCAGAAAUUACCAGAAGGCAUGAGAUAUAUGAGCAGUCUCCGUCACAUCUUCCUUGUUGGGUGUAUAAGUUUGGAGCGCAUGCCACAAGGUACUAGUCAACUGAGUUCUCUGCAGACAUUAACAAGUUAUGUCAUUGAUAGUGAUGCAGCCCGUGGAAUUGAUCAACUGAAAGAUAUGAAUCUAGGUGGUGCUCUUAUUUUGACUGAGCUGAGAAAAGUGCAUAGCCCGGAAAAUGCUAAACAAGGUAAUAUGUCUGGCAAGCAUAAUUUGAAACGAUUGUUAUUUGAUUGGUAUGGACCUUAUAAACCAAAUAAUGGAGGUGAAUUAGAUACUAAUGCAGAAGGAAUAUUAGAAGCCCUUCGCCCUCACAAAAGGCUUGAUGUUUUAGUGUUAUCUCACUAUACUGGUGCAAAAUUAUCAUCAUGGAUGCACAGCUCUACACUGUUAGAGCAUCUCAGUGAACUUACGCUGAGAAGAUGCAAGAACUGUAAUGUUCUUCCACCAUUAUGGCAGUUGCCCUCUCUCACGCGCUUGGAGUUGGAAGGUUUGGAUAGCUUGACAAGUAUAUGUGUUGGUAAUGAUGAUACGGACAAUGGGGAAUCAUGUAUUUCACCAUCACCCUUGUUCCCGAAGCUGGAAACCAUGAUGCUUGUGAACAUGCCUAAGCUAGAGAGAUGGUCCCAGGAGGUGACAGUACAAGUAUCGGUUGUAUCAUUCCCUCAGCUGAAGACGCUAGAUAUUUUUGUGUGCCCAAGGUUAGAGACAGUACCAGAGGGACUCAUGCAGCAGCUCCCUGCCCUCGAGAGACUACAUGUUGUCGACUGUCCCAACUUGCACGGAGCCUUCUCAAGAGGAGGUGCUUACUGGAAUUUGGUUGAAAGAAUUCCAGAUAUUUAUGUUAUGUUAAUCUAG